UGCUGAUAAAACGAUUUUUUCGUGUUCAAAAGAAGAUCACUGCCUAAAUUUUAUUAUAACUCAUAAACUAAUGUUAUAUGUUAUAUGUAUGUAUAUGUUGCUCAUAUAAAGUAUAUUCGUACCAUCGCAUCGGCCCCAGGUCCACCUCUCGGAGGAGUAGUUUUCUCCAUUUCAAUUUAGGCAAAUUUUAUGUAAAUAAAAAAAUCGAUUUUUCGAAUAGAUCGGUCCCAGGACUACUUCCCGGAAAACAUUACGGUUUACUUCGAGAUGCACAAAGAAAAACGAUUAAAUAUGGUUCUUCCUCCUUGGACGGGUAUGAAACUUGUACAUUGUUGUUGUCUUUAUCUUGUAUUUCAAUUCCUAUUGGAAGGUUGUUCGGUAACCGGUUGAAAUAUAAGUGCCCUAAAAUUGAUGAUAAUGAAUAGUAAGUAACCAAUUAUUCUUUCCCCAUUCAUUUAUUUCUAAUUGAAAAUUGCUUUCUUUUAAAUUUAUUUCAAAUUUAUUGAAAAAUGCUACUGGCAACUUUGUGCAAUAGAAAGAAGUCACCUGAGUUACUUCCUAAUAAAAUUUUUAUAAUUUUUUACAUACAAUAAUUUUAUGAAAAAAAACGUAACGACGGCUAAUUCGGUUAAAACGUUCCAAUCGAAAGAAGAAGAAGAAGAAGAGAACAGGCUCUUACCAUUCUCCGCCAACUAAAUUAGGAAAACUUCUCUUAUUUUCCGGUUGGAGCUCACGGCUGUGAUCAACUGUUCCAUCUCGUUUUUCUUUUCAGUUGGGAAAAAUUUCACUUGUGAGCGCAGAGUUGCAUGAAUAACUUUGACAACCGAUAAAAGAAACCGACAAGGACAUGGAAGCAAAUCAAAGAUUCUUAGGUGCAUGAGAAUAAACCGAACCGAGAUAAUCAGUUCGAUGUUGCGCAUAUCUCCGACAGCCAAGUUCCGUAUUCCCGUCAAGGCAUGCGUACAGAAGGGUGGAGCUGCAUAUAUCAACUAGGCGGUUUAAGAAACAAGGUCAAACAAUUUAUGAAAUUUUGAAUUCAAACACAAAUAUGUUAGACAAUACAAAAGAAGUAUGGGCAUUUUUUCCUUCAUCAGCAAUAUAAAUGUAUAGUUUCAAUUAACUGCCCACCACUGUUCACUGCUUACUCAGACAAAUUUCUGAGCGUACACGCAAAUUGCAUAAUUUUAGGCGCUUCAUUGCAGCAUAGUGCCAAUAGAAUACCGAUGUUCUUUUAAUGUAUCAACACGCAAAAAAGCUGUU